CAAAAGCAACAGGGCCAAGAAACCAUGGACUGAAACUCCUGGAACCGUGAGCCAAAAUAAGUCCUUCCUUCUCUGAAGUUAAUGGUCUCAGUGUUCCCCUGCAUGAAUGUACUACAGUUCACCCAUUCUUCGCCGGUGGACAUCUGGGCUGUUUCCAGUUUCCAGCUAUUAUGAACUCCAGGGCUGUGACCACUUUGGAGCUACUCAAUCACUGUUGCCUGCACAGGACUCCCAGACACCCCCAGGCCCUCCUCACUGCACCCCACCCCGCUCACCGCAGU